rnacentral:rRNA from 1 species
CUUUUACAAUGAAGAGUUUGAUCCUGGCUCAGGAUGAACGCUAGCUACAGGCUUAACACAUGCAAGUCGAGGGGCAGCAUUUCAGUUUGCUUGCAAACUGGAGAUGGCGACCGGCGCACGGGUGAGUAACACGUAUCCAACCUGCCGAUAACUCGGGGAUAGCCUUUCGAAAGAAAGAUUAAUACCCGAUGGUAUAAUCAGACCGCAUGGUCUUGUUAUUAAAGAAUUUCGGUUAUCGAUGGGGAUGCGUUCCAUUAGGCAGUUGGUGAGGUAGCGGCUCACCAAACCUUCGAUGGAUAGGGGUUCUGAGAGGAAGGUCCCCCACAUUGGAACUGAGACACGGUCCAAACUCCUACGGGAGGCAGCAGUGAGGAAUAUUGGUCAAUGGGCGCAGGCCUGAACCAGCCAAGUAGCGUGAAGGAUGACUGCCCUAUGGGUUGUAAACUUCUUUUAUAUGGGAAUAAAGUUUUCCACGUGUGGAAUUUUGUAUGUACCAUAUGAAUAAGGAUCGGCUAACUCCGUGCCAGCAGCCGCGGUAAUACGGAGGAUCCGAGCGUUAUCCGGAUUUAUUGGGUUUAAAGGGAGCGUAGGUGGACAGUUAAGUCAGUUGUGAAAGUUUGCGGCUCAACCGUAAAAUUGCAGUUGAUACUGGCUGUCUUGAGUACAGUAGAGGUGGGCGGAAUUCGUGGUGUAGCGGUGAAAUGCUUAGAUAUCACGAAGAACUCCGAUUGCGAAGGCAGCUCACUGGACUGCAACUGACACUGAUGCUCGAAAGUGUGGGUAUCAAACAGGAUUAGAUACCCUGGUAGUCCACACAGUAAACGAUGAAUACUCGCUGUUUGCGAUAUACAGUAAGCGGCCAAGCGAAAGCAUUAAGUAUUCCACCUGGGGAGUACGCCGGCAACGGUGAAACUCAAAGGAAUUGACGGGGGCCCGCACAAGCGGAGGAACAUGUGGUUUAAUUCGAUGAUACGCGAGGAACCUUACCCGGGCUUAAAUUGCAUUUGAAUAAUCUGGAAACAGGUUAGCCGCAAGGCAAAUGUGAAGGUGCUGCAUGGUUGUCGUCAGCUCGUGCCGUGAGGUGUCGGCUUAAGUGCCAUAACGAGCGCAACCCUUAUCUUUAGUUACUAACAGGUCAUGCUGAGGACUCUAGAGAGACUGCCGUCGUAAGAUGUGAGGAAGGUGGGGAUGACGUCAAAUCAGCACGGCCCUUACGUCCGGGGCUACACACGUGUUACAAUGGGGGGUACAGAAGGCAGCUACCUGGUGACAGGAUGCUAAUCCCAAAAGCCUCUCUCAGUUCGGAUCGAAGUCUGCAACCCGACUUCGUGAAGCUGGAUUCGCUAGUAAUCGCGCAUCAGCCAUGGCGCGGUGAAUACGUUCCCGGGCCUUGUACACACCGCCCGUCAAGCCAUGAAAGCCGGGGGUACCUGAAGUACGUAACCGCAAGGAGCGUCCUAGGGUAAAACUGGUAAUUGGGGCUAAGUCGUAACAAGGUAGCCGUACCGGAAGGUGCGGCUGGAACACCUCCUUU